rnacentral:rRNA from 1 species
GAUGAACGCUGGCGGCGUGCCUAAUACAUGCAGGUCGAGCGAACGGACGAGAAGCUUGCUUCUCUGAUGUUAGCGGCGGACGGGUGAGUAACACGUGGAUAACCUACCUAUAAGACUGGGAUAACUUCGGGAAACCGGAGCUAAUACCGGAUGAUAUUUUGAACCGCAUGGUUCAAAAGUGAAAGACGGUCUUGCUGUCACUUAUAGAUGGAUCCGCGCUGCAUUAGCUAGUUGGUAAGGUAACGGCUUACCAAGGCAACGAUGCAUAGCCGACCUGAGAGGGUGAUCGGCCACACUGGAACUGAGACACGGUCCAGACUCCUACGGGAGGCAGCAGUAGGGAAUCUUCCGCAAUGGGCGAAAGCCUGACGGAGCAACGCCGCGUGAGUGAUGAAGGUCUUCGGAUCGUAAAACUCUGUUAUUAGGGAAGAACAUAUGUGUAAGUAACUGUGCACAUCUUGGCGGUACCUAAUCAGAAAGCCACGGCUAACUACGUG